CCCUUAGACGUUCUGGGCCGCACGCGCGCUACACUGACACAGGCAACGAGCUUUCCUUUACCGAAAGGUAUGGGUAAUCUUUUGAAACUGUGUCGUGCUGGGGAUAGAUCCUUGCAAUUUUUGAUCUUAAACGAGGAAUUCCUAGUAAGCGCGAGUCAUCAACUCGCGUUGAUUACGUCCCUGCCCUUUGUACACACCGCCCGUCGCUACUACCGAUUGGGAAAAUUUUAGAGAGUCCUGGACUGAUGAUUGUUCGGCUUCACGGCCUUACUUUCGUCGGGAAAGAAUUCGAUAAUAUUUUUCUAGAGGAAGUAAAAGUCGUAACA
rnacentral:rRNA from 1 species